rnacentral:lncRNA from 1 species
GUGCAUGUUCUGACCUCCAUAGCGAGUCCCGUCAGCCUACAGAGUCUGUCUGCGGACGGGUCUCAGCUGCAGGAGAAAGUCAGAAACAGCCACCAGCUCUUCUCUGAGGUGGAAGAACAGACUGAGAGGAACAUCCAGGAUCUGGACAGGCUGCAAAGGGAGGGUCAGCGUUUGCAACAAUGGUUGCAAGGCGUUGAGGAAAAAGCAGCGAAAGAGGAGGAUCUUAGUCUCCUGCAGGAGGAAGCGCUUCAACAAAGGGUGACGUCAGAGGCCCUCAAUCAACUUGUGUCAUCCUUGCAAAGCAGCACGCUUCAGCAGUCUGCUGUGGUGGAAGAGAG